AGCGAUCAAGUUUGUGGGAA
rnacentral:snRNA from 1 species